GCUCAGUAACACGUGGAUAACCUACCCUUAGGACUGGGAUAACCCUGGGAAACUGGGGAUAAUACUAGAUAGGCAAGUUUUCCUGGAAUGGUUUUUUGUUUAAAUGUUUUUUCGCCUAAGGAUGGGUCUGCGGCCGAUUAGGUAGUUGGUUAGGUAAAGGCUUACCAAGCCGUUGAUCGGUACGGGUUGUGAGAGCAAGAGCCCGGAGAUGGAACCUGAGACAAGGUUCCAGGCCCUACGGGGUGCAGCAGGCGCGAAACCUCCGCAAUGUGAGAAAUCGCGACGGGGGGAUCCCAAGUGCCAUUCUUAACGGGAUGGCUUUUCAUUAGUGUAAAGAGCUUUUGGAAUAAGAGCUGGGCAAGACCGGUGCCAGCCGCCGCGGUAACACCGGCAGCUCUAGUGGUAGCAGUUUUUAUUGGGCCUAAAGCGUCCGUAGCCGGUUUAAUAAGUCUUUGGUGAAAUCCUGUAGCUUAACUGUGGGAAUUGCUGGAGAUACUAUUAGACUUGAGAUCGGGAGAGGUUAGAGGUACUCCCAGGGUAGAGGUGAAAUUCUGUAAUCCUGGGAGGACCGCCUGUUGCGAAGGCGUCUAACUGGAACGAUUCUGACGGUGAGGGACGAAAGUUAGGGGCGCGAACCGGAUUAGAUACCCGGGUAGUCCUAACUGUAAACGAUGCGGACUUGGUGUUGGGGUGGCUUUGAGCUGCUCCAGUGCCGAAGGGAAGCUGUUAAGUCCGCCGCCUGGGAAGUACGGUCGCAAGACUGAAACUUAAAGGAAUUGGCGGGGGAGCAC
rnacentral:rRNA from 1 species